UUUUUUAUUUGCUAUGUUUUUUUGCUUUUCCGGGUACUUGAUGAUCCGAGUUGUAUGUGGGUCUCUCUGCAAAAAUAAAUUAAGCAUGUAAAACACAUCAACAAAUAUUACGAUUUUCAUAAACUCGGAUUACUGAGUAAAACAAAAAAUUUGGUCUUAUAAUUAUAGCUACUACUUCUCUUUAUAUAGAGAAUACAAAGCAUAUUACUUGUUCACAAAGUAUACUUUCUCUCCAAGUUAGGUCAAAUUCGUGGUUGCUGCUGUAGGCCAACUAGAAGUAGCAAGACCACAUGAAAACCUAAUUCUCUUGGGCCUAAGUUGUAUCCUGGACCAAGACCUUCAGAUAGACAGCUCAUGGGGCCCAAAUCGGAGUUCUAGAUCAUCAUAUAGAGCUUUUUUAAGAUUGCACUUCAAGUAACGGGCUUCAAUGGAUCUUUUGACUCUUGGGCUUCAUUAUAACUUGGAUUGAGCUUGGAUUUGGACCACCCAUCUUGGACAUAAAGUCAAGUCCACAGGACCAGUCCACCGGGUGCCCUCAGCAACUCUGCGGGUGCAAAUAGCAAUUCCUCUCCUUUAUGCAAAUAACACUCUUUUAAUGGCAUUUCUUGUGUGUGCAAAGCCCUAAUGGAAGCCGCCGCCGUCUCCUCUGCCUCUCUUCCAUCAUCCCCCUCCAAUUUUCAUGUUCCCCCUCUCUCUUUCAACACCCUUAGCUCUUAAUUGUUUCUUUCCUUUUCUUGUUUCCCUCCAGCCUUAUGGCUGGGGAUUCACCCACUUCUAGCCAUCAAAACCAACCCCCACCACCAUCCAUUCCAUCCCCCCCCCCCCCCAAUCCCAUGGACAACCAUCUAACGGCGCAUGGUUCGAUUUGCAAUGUUAAUAGGAAUGUUCCCCAAGUGGAAAUUACAAGCUAUACCUAAUUAAACGAAGAUUUGAUUUUGGGUAAUGAAAAAGGGAAUAAGGUGCAGUCAACAAUCAAAUCAUGGAGUUCUCUACUCAAAACAACACCUCCUUCAGCUGGCAGAGAAGUAUUGGAGUUUCAAUCUCCGAAAUUUAAGGACGGUGCACUUGAAAUUGAAGAAAGCAUACUAGAAGAAAGAUCAAUUGAGUGGGACAGUAAAGUGGUAGCCUUUUUUCUUGAUAAAAAGUUGCCAUUUACUUAUGUUAAAGCAAUGGUCACAAAAAAAUGGCAGCCUACAGGGGAAUUGAGUAUAGCUUUGGAUGGAGAUAUGUACUACUUUAGCUUCAACAACGAGGAUGAUCGUCAAAAGGCGAUUGAGGAGGGACCCUUCCAUAUCUCAGGUAAGCUUUCAUAGUUAGACCAUGGAUAAGAAUAAUUGAGCUGAAUAAUGGUUCAGUAAAAACAAUCCCAAUUUGGGUAAAAUUUUCAAAAGUUCCUAAGCAUUUGUGGAACCAAAGGGAUUAGAAUACAUAGCGAGCACGAUUGGUAAACCUUUGUGUCUAGACAAAGCUACUGAGACCAAAACAAUGUUGACAUAUGCAAGAGUUUGUAUUGAAAUCAAAGCAGAGAAACAACUCCCAGAUACAAUACCAAUAUGGGCUGAUGUAGGCAAGAAAGCUACAGUUGAAGUGGAACACCCUUGGAAGCCGAUGUUAUGCACUAAAUGUCAAGUCUUUGGGCACAAAACAGGGAAGUGUGAGCCUACGAAGGAAAAACCAACACCACUUGUAGUCAGAGGCAGAGAUGCCAUCAAUGUUAACAAUUGAUAGAAGCUAUUUGUGUAACCUCUAAACAAAAUAUUAUAUUUUUAAUUGAAGUACCUUCUUGUGCCUGUAUAAAUUGGUUAUCAAAGUAGACAAGUAACAAGCAAGGGUCGUACCCACCUCAGAAGGGGAGAUCUUAACUCAAACACAAUAGAAAACAAUUGUUAAGAAACACCAAGGGAAUCAAUAAACAAUAUUUGAGAUUGAUUCUACUUUCUACAGGCAAUAAUAAAUAAACCCUAACUUAAGAAGAUGGUAGAGAUGUAAAGAAGAUUUAUGAUGACAAAGGGGGAAGAAUUGGUAUCCACAAACUAAAUCAUGCAAACAUAACAUGUUGUUCCUUCAUGUUCAAUCUAUAACAAUUAAUUAGUCACCUCUCAGCUAUUCCAAUUAAUCAUUAAUACCUACAAUAAUCAAGUAGUCACCUCUCAGCUAUUCUACUCAAUUAAAAUGGGAUUUUCUUAUGCAUGUUAUUGAAUAUGUAUCAUCAAUCAAACCGUCACCUCUCAGCUAUUCAAUUUAAUUAACUCAACAUAUUGAUUCAUAACUAAAUCAUCACCUCUCAACUAUUUCACUUAAUUACAAAAGGGUUCCAAUAAAAGAUAUCAACUGCAGAUAUGUAAUAAUCACCUCUCAGCUAUUUUACUACACAUCUUUAAUCAAUAUAAACACAACCAUUAAAGCUAGGUCUCCCUAAACCCUAACAAAAGUAUUUUAACAACAUGGAUAACAAUAACAUGCAAAUAAUCAUACUUACCUCAUAUCGCGAAUUAGAAGUAAAUAAACAUUAAGAACUUUGAAUCACAAUGAACAAUAAGAACAAACAUGGUGCUUUUGCAUCAUCUAGAGUGCUUCAACCAUCCUCCUAAGGAGAUUUAGCUACUCAUCCUUGAUGAUGACACCAUGGAAUAAAUAAAUAAAUCACAAGACAUCAUAAUGGAAAAAUAAUGGAUUUGAUAUUGAUAAUUGAUUGAGUUCAAUACAAAGAAGAAGAUGAAAACCUAGACCUUUAACAUAAACUCUCUAAUAUGAACUACCUAAACCUUAGCUACUUCUUCUCUUAUAUAGAAAAUACUAAGUAGAAUACUUGCAUGCAAAGACUUCCAAAUUAGGUCAAAUUCGUGGCUGCUGCUGUUGGUCUUCUACAGGUAUUAGGUCUUCAGAAAAAACUAAUUCUCUUGCGUUUAAGUUGUAACUUAGACCAAGACUUUCAGUUUGAUAGCUCAUGGGCCCCAAUCAGACUUAUGGAUCUCCUUGUAGAGCCUUUUUAAGUUUGGACUUUAAAUAAAGCCCUAAAUAGAAAUUCUGACUUGUGGGCUUCAAUAGGACCCGGUUUGGGCUGAGAUUCGGACCACCCCACUUUGACAUAAAGUCAAGUCAACAGGAUUGAUCGUGGGGAGCCCUCCGAAGAUUUGUGGGUGCAAAUAUCCAUUCUCCUCCCUUAGUGCAAAUAACACAUUUUUGGUUGCUUUUCUUGACUUUUCGCGGGCUUUAACACAAUAUUCGCAAUUCGGCUCAUGAAACCUACACAAUAGAUAAGAAAGCACUAAUCAAUAGAAAACAUGAUAAUAUAAGCUAAGUGCUAGACAAACAAGGUGUUAUUCGGGGAAUAAAUAUACACUUUUGAGGAUUUAUCAACAAUCAAUGUAGAAACAAGGUUUUCAACAAUAAUGACCAAACAACUGAAUGGAAAAACAAACAAAAUUGGCAAAAAAAGGCAAAAUGACAAGAUCAACACCUCGGAAAAAGCAAAGGAACCAAGGAUGCAAGAUAGAUGUAACAAGGAUAAAGAAACAAUUAAGAUGAAGACUAUUUCCAACAGGUUCAGUUUGUUACAGACAGGGGAGGAUGAUAUUGAAGAAGUAGAAGAAGAAAAUGGUGAAAUACCUCAGACUGGCGACGAAGAGAACUUAAACAUUCUUAAUGAAGAUUUACCUACAGAAAAGGUCGAAGACAACAAUGAUAAUGGCUCAAUCACAGCUGUGGCAAAGAUAAUAAACUCUAAAAAAAAAAUGAUUUUUUGGAACCUUUGGAUGAGAACAUUAAUGAGCUUGAAAGUGGUCAACCUGUUGAUAUUGCCUUGAGCUCUACCUCAAGCCCACUUGAAAGUAACAAUGAUCAAGGGGAGAGUUUUAUUGAAGUUCUGAGUGGAGACACAAAAACUCUGGUUGAUGGUGAGAAAACCAUCCAUUUUCAAUUGGUCGAUUUCAAUGAUGUUUUACUUACCAAUGUGUAUGGGGUGACAUUUGGAACCUUUAGUCCUGAAUUUUACCGAGAAUCACUCCCAAGGACUGUAGAGUGGGCUGGAAGGUUCCUUGAUGAUCCUAAAUGGGGUACUAUGAUGCAAAAAGAAGGUGAUCUUAGGAAGGAAGCUGCAACACUCUUAUAUGAAGUUGGCAUAGUAUCGAUAGAACAUAUCAAAGUACACAGACCAAAGAAAAUUUUGAAGCAAAAAUUUAAUCUCGCAAGUUGGGGGCUAUCCAACGUAGAAUCAAAGGAUCAACAAUCUGAUCUCUGAAUAGUCAGUUCUUCACCUCUCUUUAGGGGGUGUCAUCCUGUCUUUAGCCACUUGUGUGUGGCCUUUUUUAGCUUUUAAGCCGUCAAUUCACACUUGUCGUUGAGUGGAUGUUUCUUUUUAGCUCAACUCUUUAAAGGGUAAGCCUUGUUUCUUCACUCCCUCCAAUGAUCAUCCUCUUGGGGAGCUCUGUAACCCUUACUUUCUUAAUGAAAUUUCGUUUAAAAAAAAAAUGGCUUUUCUUGGCUUUUGGUGGGCUUUAACACAAUAUUCACAUUUUGGCUCCUGAAACCUACACAAAUGACAAGAAAGCACUAAUCAAUAGAUAUAAUACAAUAAUAUAAGCUAAGUGUUAUGCAAACAAGGUGUUAUUCGGGGGAUAAAUAUACACUUUUAAGGACUUAUCAGAUGCCACUCAUGAAGUCCUUGUAAGCAGCUAAUGGGUAGUGGGCAUUGGUGAGAGCAUUGAUUUAUGGAGGGAUGGGUGGAUUGAAAAAAAUUUUGUACAAGAGCUACUAAACAUUUCAGUGUCACAACUCAAGGGAUGUAGGAACAGAUUGAGUGCAGUUAUACAAGGUAACAACUGGAACCUACCACAGGAGAUGAAUACCUUAUUUUUUGGACAUGUAAUUGAGGUACACAAGCUGACAAUACCAAAUACAGAAAAUAAAGACAAAAGAGUUUGCUUACCAAAUAAAAGGAAAAUGUUUACAGUGAAGAUAGCUUAUGAGAAAAUCACGAAAACGUUACCUCCAGAUAAGUGGGCUAAGUGUAUUUGGAGGAGUUUCUUGCACCCAAAAAACAGCUGUGGCAUGGAAAUUGUGUCAUAACAGAGUAGUUACACAAGAUCAACUCAAGAAGAUAGGCAAAAGUUGGCACCUAGAUGUUAUACAUGUUGCACAGAGGAGGAGAACCUAGAUCAUCUACUCUGGCAUUGCCCCUUCGCAAGGCAGCUAUGGGAAUGGAUUGUAGGUAAGUUCAUAACCAUAGCUACCUUUCCUUGUAUCACAAGGGAAAACAGAAUGGCUAAAACAUUGAGUCCUCUGGUGAAACACAUCUGGUUGGCUACUAUUUGUGGGGAGAUGGUUGCAUUGUGGAGGCAUAGAAAUAUAAUAGUGUUUGUAAAGUGGUUGUAUUGGUAGUACAUAGAGCUUAACCAUACUCUAACUAAUGUCAAGGCCUUUUGGGGAAAACCAAAUGGGUGGACUUUGAUCCAAAACCCUCUAGUAGUCACUGUGGAUAUCCAACAGUAGAGGGUUUUCGAUCAGGGUCUACCCAUCUGGUUUUCCAUGAAAGGCCUUUACAUUAGUUAGAAUAUGCUUAAGCUCUAUAUGCUACGAAUACGACUUCCUAGACGAGGUGGGACUAACCCUAACUCAUGGGUGUUACAAUCCUACCACCUUAGAAUAGAGUCGUCCUCGGCUCUCAAGUACACUCAACACAGUCCAAAAAUCUCCGACGUUUCCUACUGAGUGAGCCAAGUACCUAGCGCAACUGUCACCCUAUGGGUUGGACGCCUUUCCAGCGUGCCCCCUCCCCCUCACAAUAAGAGGUUCGUCUACCAAUUGUAACACCUCAAGAUUUCGUCCUCGCUCAUCCCAGAGUGUCGAGCAUCAUACCGCUCGCUAAUGUCAAUAUUGUCCACCUUUAGUCAUUGUGGAUAUCCAGCAAUAGAGGGUUUUGGAUCAAGGUCCACCCAUCUGAUUUUCCCCAAAAGGCCUUGACAUUAGUUAGAGUAUGGUUAAGCUCUAUAUACUACCAAUACAACCACUUCCUAGACAACGUGAGACUAAUCCCAACUCAUGGGUGUUACAAAGACCGAGCCGUUGCUAGAGAGUGGGAAAUUUGUAUGAAGGUGAAAAGGAAGCCUAGAAUUAUAAAUAUAAAUGGUCGUUGCCAGAUGCUAAUAUGGUAAAGAUCAAUACUGAUGGAGUUGCUCAGGGAAAUCCAGAAAGAUCAAGAGUUGGGGUGGUGUUUAGAGACCAUCCUGGUCAGAUUUUAUUGGUGCUAAGCAAGGGCUUGGGACACAAUACAAGCUACAUGGCAGAUUGUGAAACAAUCGUAGCAGGGUAGGCAUCAGUUGAGAACCAAUGGAAGAAGAUUUGGAUAGAAUCAGACUCAAGUGCAGCUGUGAUAAUUGUACAAGCAACAAUUUGCCGUGGCAGCUUUAGGGUAGACGGAAUUUUUUGAAGAAAGAGGUUGAGACAAUGAUUAUCAACAUACAUGGAGGCAAACCAAUUUUUCAGCUGAUGCAGCUGCAAACUUUGGAGUCCAAUUGGAGACGAAUUGUACUGUAAGUUACGACAGUAGACCUCCAUGGCUUUAUACAUGGGAAGAGAACCUGAUGCAACAUACUUUAGAGUUGAUUAGCCUAAUAAAUUUUAUAUGUUGUGAUUCUUUAGUGUGGAUUUGUGGGAUCAAUAAAACACCGCCAGAUAUGACGUACGUAUUAGUGUUGUAAACCCUCGUGGGAUCUGAACAAAUAUUGUUAGUUGUUUUACUGACAUGUGGCAAUUUUUUAUUGAUCCCACAGACCCACACCUAAAGAUCACAACGCAUAAAUUUUUUUUUUGUUGAUUAGCCUAGUAACCAGUAAGAGAGACAAUCUAACCUGAAUCAUGUAAAGUGUAUAUUUUGGAUAUAUCAAUACAACACAAGCUUAGAGAGAGAGAGAGAGAGAGAGAGAGAGAGAGCUCCCAGUGGAUUCAACUGUGUGUUUCACUCUCACAAACAACCCAACCCAAACGAUGUUUGCUCAGCCAUAGGCUUUGCCAUUAAUGUAUAUGCUUGGUAGCUGUAAGUUGGAUAUGUGCAAGUUCUGGAUCAUUCGGCAUUUACUAGCGAGUCCCAUUUUAAUAUCCUGUUUUGAGUCUUAUGUUGUUCUAAACAUAUAUCAAUAACAAUCAUGUUCAUGAAGAUGACAUUGUAUCCGGCCGAGCGGGAGCUUAGUGAUAAUGGUUUAGAUCCAUUGACUAUGUUUCCUUUCCUGAAGACUGCUUGAAUAUGUUGUUUGAUGAUUUCAAAAAAGUAGAGAAAGCAACCACCAGGCUUUAUCUUGCACUUAUCAAUCACUUUGAGAAAAGUUAUUUUCCGAUAAAUAAAAUUCAGCAUGGAGGUUCAAUAAAAGAAUUAACUGGAGGUGGCAGACUACUUGCAAGUAGUUCAUUACAACCAUUCUCAGUGACGGUAUACAGUAUACAACAACAUUACAAAAAUAUCCACAUGUUCAAAACCUGUCUCUCUCUUCCCAUUACAUGAUUCUUUCUCUCUCUCUCUCCACAUUACAUAAUUUUCUGCAAUCAUUUUUAUCAAUCUAAAAAAGGGUGCCAAAACCACAAAAUGAAUACAUUUUAUAAUUGUUUCAAAAAAAAAUGAGGAAAAGAAGAGUAAAGAAGCCUUCUCAAACCUCUGCAACAGACCAGCAUUUCCUCUCUCAGGAACUCCUAUACACUUUUUGUUCUCUUAACCAUCAAAAAUCUUGAAGGUCUCCCUGUUGAACCUUCUAUCCUCAUUAUCAGCCUCAAAAUCGUUACAGUUGAAAAAUAUGUAGAAGUAACAAAAGUCCUAUGCUCAGGCUUUUUCUUUUUGUCAACCGUGCCAAUUCUAAUUCAAUGGCAACGAAAAACCUAUUUAAAAAUCUCUAUCCCCUGCACGUAGAGAAAAGAAAAGGAAAAGAGAAGGGGAACACCACUGCUGCUUUAGAUAGAUGCUUUGCAUUACUUGUUAUUGUGACUCGGAUGCAAGGUUAGUACCCUGAAAAUGUGGCUUAGUUACUCUGUAUCCCUGGAAAACCCAGAAGAAGAUUCUGUUAAGUUUGACGCUUGAUAUCUAUUCUCAGACGUUGAUGGACUUCCUUGAUGGUUCUCCUCACUGCUGUUAGUCCGGGCUUUGCCAGGUCUUGACCGAAUAUUUACUCCCAUUGGAAAUGGCUCCUGCAGUGAGAAUAUGUCAACAUUAUGAUAUGUAGAAUUUACUGAACUGUCAAUCCAUAACUUUGUAUACCUUACAAUCUUGAGAUUUUUGGACAUACCCCCCCAUUUCAAAGUCGAAAUUUGAGAUACCCCCCAUUCGAAAAAAAAAU
rnacentral:lncRNA from 1 species